rnacentral:rRNA from 1 species
UACGUAGGGCGCAAGCGUUGUCCGGAAUUAUUGGGCGUAAAGAGCUCGUAGGCGGCCUGUUACGUCUGCUGUGAAAUCCCGGGGCUUAACCCCAGGCGUGCAGUGGAUACGGGCAGGCUGGAGGCAGGCAGGGGAGAACGGAAUUCCCGGUGUAGCGGUGAAAUGCGCAGAGUAUCGGGAGGAACACCGGUGGCGAAGGCG